rnacentral:rRNA from 1 species
GACGAAGGAUGCAAGCGUUAUCCGGAUUCAUUGGGUUUAAAGGGAGCGUAGGCGGAUAGGUAAGUCAGUGGUGAAAUCCCAUCGCUUAACGAUGGAACUGCCAUUGAUACUGCUUAUCUAGAGUACAGUUGCCGUUGGCGGAAUAUGACAUGUAGUGGUGAAAUACUUAGAUAUGUCAUAGAACACCGAUUGCGAAGGCAGCUAACGAAGCUGUAACUGACGCUGAGGCUCGAAAGUGCGGGGAUCAAACAGGAUUAGAACCCCAGUAGUCC